AGAAUUUAAGGAUGCCAAACCAUUGU
rnacentral:piRNA from 1 species